GUGGGGAAUAUUGCACAAUGGGGGAAACCCUGAUGCAGCAACGCCGCGUGAGUGAUGACGGUCUUCGGAUUGUAAAGCUCUGUCUUCAGGGACGAUAAUGACGGUACCUGAGGAGGAAGCCACGGCUAACUACGUGCCAGCAGCCGCGGUAAUACGUAGGUGGCAAGCGUUGUCCGGAUUUACUGGGCGUAAAGGGAGCGUAGGUGGAUAUUUAAGUGGGAUGUGAAAUACUCGGGCUUAACCUGGGUGCUGCAUUCCAAACUGGAUAUCUAGAGUGCAGGAGAGGAAAGUAGAAUUCCUAGUGUAGCGGUGAAAUGCGUAGAGAUUAGGAAGAAUACCAGUGGCGAAGGCGACUUUCUGGACUGUAACUGACACUGAGGCUCGAAAGCGUGGGGAGCAAACAGGAUUAGAAACCCCUGUAGUCC
rnacentral:rRNA from 1 species